rnacentral:rRNA from 1 species
ACGAAGGGAGCAAGCGUUGUUCGGAAUUACUGGGCGUAAAGGGCGUGUAGGCGGACUGAACAGUCAGAGGUGAAAUCCCAGGGCUCAACCUUGGAACUGCCUUUGAUACGUUCAAUCUAGAAUCCGGGAGAGGAUAGUGGAAUACCCAGUGUAGAGGUGAAAUUCGUAGAUAUUGGGUGGAACACCAGUGGCGAAGGCGACUAUCUGGACCGGCAUUGACGCUGAGGCGCGAAAGCGUGGGGAGCAAACAGG